AUACAUAAAAUAAAUAAAAAUAUAACAACAACAAGACCCCAACAUAAUCUAAGCCAUUUCCAAUUUUCCUUCACUUUUAGUCCUACACACUAUCACCAUAGUAACCAUGACGAUUGCCAUAGUAACUGUGUUCCUUUCUGUUUUGCUGAGUUGAUAAUCUGAGUUAGCUAGUUCUCUCUUUACCUCUUAAUACUCUUAUCUCAAAAAUGCCUCAGUUUUCACAAGUAACAUUCAUGGACUCACACCUCUCCCCCUUUAAGACAUUCUUCACCUUCACAACUCUGUUUUCUCUGAUUCCUUCUUGUCAAAACAGAUCAUUAGAAAUGUGCUCCGGGCCAGGAGAAUCGCAGUCCUGCCCAUGUCUUGUGAUUUGGCAUUGCAAAGGGCUCCAGCACAUCGUAGGCAGAACCCUCACAAUCCUGCCUCUAAGUGGAGCCAGGAAAUGUUCCCUAAUGCCCAUCAAUUUCUGUAAGGAAGUAGGGAACAAGGUUUCCUGGCAGACUGCAGAGUAGAAACUUGAGUAAAUGCUCUUCUGUGUCCAACCUAAGUAAAUAACAACGUCAAAUCUAGAAACACUCUCCAGGAAACCUGCUCAGUUUAUGCAUUAAAGACGAGAUCUGUGUUGGCAAGAUGGACCAGCUAGUAAAGGCUGCCAUCAAACUCAACAGUCUGAGCUUGACCUGAAGGAACCACAUGAUAGAAGGAGAGAACCAAGUCCUAUAAGUUGUCCUUUGGUCACACACAUGCGCACAUGUGCACAUAAACACAAUAGGUAAAAAUAGUCAUUGAAGCAACAAUACCCCAAAUUAUCUAAGGCAUUUCCAAUUGUUCUUAGUGUUCAGGCCUACAUGGUCACCAUGGUAACCAGGCUCCUCUCUGAGAUAACUGAAGGCCUAGGGUCUAUCUCCCUGUGGGAACUUUGGCCCCUGUUUGUGUUACAAACCUUCAUGUCAACAGCUCUAAGACACACCAGGAUUACUUUAUUCAAAGAUUGCUUUGUCAACUGUUUUUCAUUUCUUAAUCCUGGCUUUUCUAACUCCGGGGUACUGCAACAUCAGCUUGGACUGAGGCUGAGCACAGAGCUUAUGCUGGGAACUGCCCUGCCCACUGCCCGGACUAAUGAUUGCACUGGGGACACAUGCACCUCCAAGGAGAAGAGGAACGUGAAGGGAGACCUUGGCUUAGGGGUUGAGAUGCAGCCUGUGCCUUCUGUUUCUCUGCGCUGCCCAAACCAUCUGGACCAGGGAUAGACACUUGGCUCCCCUGAAUCCUGCUUGCUCUCUGACAUAGGUAUAAGAUAAUGAGUUGGCUAGCAGCCAGCAUGCCUGUAAACCUCACCCCAGCCUGAAAACAGGGUUAUUCUACCUCCUCUUCUUUGUAUCUCAGGCCAGCCUUCCACCCAAAUAAAAUUCAGAGGUAUAGUCAGCAGGACAAAAUACACAUCCCAGCUCCCCAUCCGUCAGAACUCAGGUCUCUGCUGCUUCAGUCUGGUGAAAGGAGCCUCUGGGAAGGAGGCCUGCCAACUGAGUCCACAGCUGAUGUUCUUGCUGGGUACACUUUCCAGGGUUAUGCUCUGACCUAUACUGGAUUAUAGAGGCUGGGCCUCUGGCCAGAAGAUAUAGGACACAUGCCUGGGUUCAGCAUCCAACGGAGGCACCCAUUUUUCUAAAAGGUUGACAGGCUAGCCAGGGCUAGGAUUCCCAGGCUGCAGCAGCGAUGCACACGACGCUUGUCAGCUUUUUGUCAACUUGACACAAGCUACGGUCAUCUGGAAAGAGAGAGGGAAUUUCAAUCGAGAAAAUGUCUUCAUUUUCACUGAAGGGGUAGGCUAGUCGCUGCAGGGCGUUUUCCUGAUUGAUGGUUGAUACAGGAAGGUCCAGUCCAGUGUGAGCAGUGUUGCCUCCAGGCAGGCUGUCUUGGGAGGUAACGAAAGCAAACUAUCCACGGAGAGCUAGCCAGGAAUGGGGCGCUCCUCCAAGGCUUCUGCUUCAGUUCCUGCCUCCAGGUUCCUGCUCUGGCUUCUCUUCAUGACAGACCGGAAGCUGUAGGAUGAAAUACCUCCCCCUCCCCCAGCACCUUUGAUCGUGGGAUUUAUCACAGCAAUAGAAAGCAAAACCCAUCUUGCUUUAAUCUGAGAAAGGUCUGCAACUUCCACAGAUGCCUCUACUCGGUGACGUCCGUGACGUCUCAGGGCGGGACCUUCUGCAGUCCUUCCCAGAAUUCCGCGCUGGAGCACCAGAUGUGUUUUGGAUUGGAGAGUGGGCACCUCAUUUGAGGGCCUGGCUCACAGUGGGAUACCCAUGAGUUCGAGACCUAAUCUUGUGGUUCUGGUGCAUUCUGCGGCCCAGAACACAAUCGUUCCUGAGAUUCUCCGUGGAGUCCCGGAACAGCUGCCACAGAGGGAAGGCCCAUGGGCACCUGCCCACUCUGUGCAACCCACACUCUGGCGACUCCUCGGGGGAAUCAUUUUGCCUGAGUUCACAGGAAGUCACUGUGAGGACCUUUGUUAACAGGACACAAGAUGACUACUCCUAUGCUGAUCCUGGGAGCCUACUUAUGUGAACUGACUGCGGCUAUUUCAAGGAAGAACA
rnacentral:lncRNA from 1 species